rnacentral:snoRNA from 11 species
GGGGAGCAUCCUAAAGCUGAGAUGUUACCUGAUACAAUCUUCCUACAAAAAAAACAUCUGGAUUUUCGUGCUUGUUGUUUCUAAGCAAGCUCUACAAGCCUCAAGUUACCAGAGACAUGA